ACGGAGGGUGCAAGCGUUAAUCGGAAUCAUUGGGCGUAAAGCGCUCGUAGGCGGUUUGGUCAGUCAGAUGUGAAAGCCUUCGGCUUAACCGGGGAACUGCAUUUGAAACUGUCAGACUCGAGUGUAGGUGAGGGUGGCGGAAUUCCGGGUGUAGCGGUGAAAUCCAUAGAUAUCCGGAGGAACACCGAUGGCGAAGGCAGCCACCUAGACUACAACUGACGCUGAGGAGCGAAAGCGUGGGGAGCAAACAG
rnacentral:rRNA from 1 species